rnacentral:ncRNA from 2 species
AACGCACUUCGGGGUCGGUGAAAGUCCGAGCCGGCGGUCAUAGUCCGCGACCCGUGGUCGAGCUCUCGGGCUCGGCACCGGUUGAGCUGGUGGAACUCCAGCACCGACGGUGAGAGUCCGGAUGGGAGAAGUGCGGU